UUGGAAAUGCUAGUCUAAGCGUUUAGGGAGUUACGGUAGGCAAAUCCGCUGUAACAAUUCUGAGGCGUGAUGGGGAAGGCCAUAUAGGCCGAAGUACAUGAUUCCAUGCUUCCAAGAAAAGCAUCUAGAGAGAGAAGUAGUGCCCGUACCGCAAACCGACACAGGUAGAUGAGGAGAGAAUCCUAAGGCCGGCGGAAGAAUUGCAGUUAAGGAACUAGGCAAAUUGACCCCGUAAGUUCGCGAGAAGGGGUGCCUGCGAGAGCAGGCCGCAGAGAAUAGGCCCAAGCAACUGUUUAGCGAAAACACAGGUCUCUGCUAAAGCGUAAGCUGAUGUAUAGGGGCUGACGCCUGCCCGGUGCUGGAAGGUUAAGGGGAACACUUAGCGCAAGCGAAGGUGUGAACUUAAGCCCCAGUAAACGGCGGCCGUAACAAUAACGGUCCUAAGGUAGCGAAAUUCCUUGUCAGGUAAGUUCUGACCCGCACGAAUGGCGUAAUGACUUGGGCACUGUCUCAACUGCAAAUCCGGCGAAGUUGUAGUGCGAGUGAAGAUGCUCGCUACCCGCGAUUGGACGGAAAGACCCCGUAGAGCUUUACUGUAGCUUAGCAUUGAAUUCCGGUAUUGUCUGUACAGGAUAGGUGGGAGACUGGGAAACUAGGGCGUCAGCCUUAGUGGAGUCAACCUUGGGAUACCACCCUGACAGUACUGGGGUUCUAACAGGACGCCAUGAAUCUGGUGACUGGACAUUGUUAGGUGGGCAGUUUGACUGGGGCGGUCGCCUCCUAAAAAGUAACGGAGGCGUCCAAAGGUUCCCUCAGAACGGUCGGAAAUCGUUCGUAGAGUGCAAAGGCAGAAGGGAGCCUGACUGCGAGACAUACAAGUCGAGCAGGGACGAAAGUCGGGCUUAGUGAUCCGGUGGUACCUCGUGGGAGGGCCAUCGCUCAACGGAUAAAAGCUACCUCGGGGAUAACAGGCUGAUCUCCCCCAAGAGUCCACAUCGACGGGGAGGUUUGGCACCUCGAUGUCGGCUCGUCGCAUCCUGGGGCUGUAGUAGGUCCCAAGGGUUGGGCUGUUCGCCCAUUAAAGCGGCACGCGAGCUGGGUUCAGAACGUCGUGAGACAGUUCGGUCCCUAUCCGUCGCGGGCGUAGGAAAUUUGAGAGGAGCUGUCCUUAGUACGAGAGGACCGGGAUGGACUGACCUCUGGUGCACCAGUUGUUCCGCCAGGAGCAUGGCUGGGUAGCUAAGUCGGGAAGGGAUAAACGCUGAAAGCAUCUAAGCGUGAAGCCUCCCUCAAGAUGAGAUUUCCCAUAGCAUAAGCUAGUAAGACCCCUUGAAGAACACAAGGUUGAUAAGUCAGAGGUGUAAGUGCGGUAACGUAUUUAGCUGACUGAUACUAAUAGGUCGAGGGCUUGAUC
rnacentral:rRNA from 1 species